rnacentral:rRNA from 1 species
GUGAGGAAUAUUGCGCAAUGGAGGCAACUCUGACGCAGCCAUGCCGCGUGCAGGAAGAAGGCGCUACGCGUUGUAAACUGCUUUUAACCGGGAAGAAACCCCAGGACGUGUCCUGGGUUGACGGUACCGGAGGAAUAAGCACCGGCUAACUUCGUGCCAGCAGCCGCGGUAAUACGAAGGGUGCAAGCGUUAUCCGGAUUCAUUGGGUUUAAAGGGUGCGUAGGCGGAGCGUUAAGUCAGUGGUGAAAUCCUGUAGCUUAACUGUAGACUUGCCAUUGAUACUGGCGCUCUUGAGUGCGCUUGAAGUGGGCGGAAUGUGCCGUGUAGCGGUGAAAUGCUAGAUAUGGCACAGAACACCAAUUGCGAAGGCAGCUCACUAAGGCGAUACUGACGCUGAGGCACGAAAGCGUGGGGAUCGAACAGGAUUAGAAACCCCUGUAGUCC